rnacentral:rRNA from 1 species
GAAAGUAAGUAAGGGCGUAUGGGGGAUGCCUAGGCUCUUGGAGGCUAAGAAGGACGUGGUAAGCUGCGAAAAGCUGCGGGGAUUUGCAAACGAGACUCGAUCCGCAGAUAUCCGAAUGGGACAACCCGGCAGGUAGAAGACCUGUCACACCGCGAGGUGAGCUAACCCUCUGAACUGAAACAUCUAAGUAGGAGGAGGAAAAGAAAGAAACAUCGAUUUCCAAAGUAGCGGCGAGCGAAAUGGAAGAAGCCCAAACCGAUAUUGUUACGGCAAUAUCGGGGUUGUAGGACUGCAAUAUUCAAUUAACAAUGAACUGGAAUGGUCUGGAAAGUCCAUCCAUAGAGAGUGAAAGGCUCGUACAGGUAAGUUUGUUAUGCGAAAGCAGUAUCCUGAGUAUGGCGGGACACGAGGAAUCCUGUCAGAAUCAGCCGGGACCACCCGGUAAGGCUAAAUACUCCCAAGAGACCGAUAGUGGACCAGUACUGUGAAGGAAAGGUGAAAAGAACCCCGAACAGGGGAGUGAAAUAGAACCUGAAACCAUACGCUUACAACCGGUCGGAGCAGCUUCGUGCUGUGACGGCGUGCCUAUUGAAUAAUGAGCCUACGAGUUACUAAUCACUAGCGAGGUUAAGUGCAAGGAUGCACGGAGCCGAAGCGAAAGCGAGUCUGAACAGGGCGUUUAGUUAGUGGUUGUAGACGCGAAACCUUGCGAUCUACCCUUGAGCAGGUUGAAGGUUGGGUAAAACCAACUGGAGGACCGAACGAAUAAGCGUUGAAAAGCUUCUCGAUGACUUGAGGGUAGGGGUGAAAGGCUAAUCAAGCUGGGAAAUAGCUCGUACUCCCCGAAAUGCCUUUUGGGGCAGCGUUGUAAUAAAGAGUCUACUGGAGGUAGAGCUACUGAUUGGAUGCGGGGGCUUCACCGCCUACCAAAUCCUGACAAACUCCGAAUGCCAGUAGUAUGAUUUACAGCAGUGAGUGACUGGGUGCUAAUGUCCAGUCGCAAAAGAGGAACAACUCAGACCAGCAACUAAGGUCCCGAAGAAUAUGCUAAGUUGAUCUAACGAUGUUUUGUUGCAGAGACAGCUAGGAUGUUAGCUUGGAAGCAGCUAUUCAUUCAAAGAGUGCGUAACAGCUCACUAGUCGAGCGACAGAGCGUGGAUAAUAAACGGGCAUCAAGCAUAUCACCGAAGUUCUGGGCGCGAGAGCGCGGUAGGGGAGCAUUCCAUUCAGCGUCGAAGCAGUUUCGUGAGGAAUUGUGGAGCGUAUGGAAAAGCAAAUGUAGGCAUGAGUAACGAUAAUGCGGGAGAGUAACCCGCACACCGCAAGACCAAGGUUUCCUGAUCAACGCUAAUCGGAUCAGGGUUAGUCGGGUCCUAAGGGUAAGCCGAACGGCGAUCUCGAUGGAUAAUCGGUUAAUAUUCCGAUACUAACAUAUACCUCGAUGGAGAGACGAAGGAACGUAAGUGCCGCCACCUGACGGAAUAGGUGGUUAAAGGGCGUAGGUAUAGGGGCAGAUUAAGAGUUAGUCCUUGCUGAAACCUGACAGUACAGAGAGCCUACGGGCAAUUUGAUAGAGCACCCAAGUCGACUUCCGAGAAAAUCUUCUAAGUUAUAGUAUAUGUUACCCGUACCGUAAACCGACACAGGUGGUCGAGGAGAGUAUCCUAAGGUGCUCGAGUGAAUCACGGUUAAGGAACUAGGCAAAUUAACCCCGUAACUUCGGGAAAAGGGGUCCCUAUGAAAGUAGGGCGCAGCGAAGAGGUCCAGGCGACUGUUUAUCAAAAACACAGGGCUCUGCAAAUUCGAAAGAAGACGUAUAGGGCCUGACACCUGCCCGGUGCUGGAAGGUUAAGAGGGGAUGUCAUCGCAAGAGAAGCAUUGAAUCGAAGCCCCAGUAAACGGCGGCCGUAACAAUAACGGUCCUAAGGUAGCGAAAUUCCUUGUCGGGUAAGUUCCGACCUGCACGAA